rnacentral:rRNA from 1 species
GAUCCUGGCUCAGGACGAACGCUGGCGGCGCGCCUAACACAUGCAAGUUGAACGAGCGAGAGAGAGCUUGCUUUCUCGAGCGAGUGGCGAACGGGUGAGUAACACGUGAGGAACCUGCCUCAAAGAGGGGGACAACAGUUGGAAACGACUGCUAAUACCGCAUAAGCCCACAGGUCGGCAUCGACCAGAGGGAAAAGGAGCAAUCCGCUUUGAGAUGGCCUCGCGUCCGAUUAG